rnacentral:rRNA from 1 species
UACGUAGGCAGCGAGCGUUGUUCGGAGUUACUGGGCGUAAAGCGUGCGUAGCGGUGCCAUAAGUCUGUUGUGAAAUCUCCCGGCUUAACUGGGAGGGUGCGGUGGAAACUGUGGUGCUGGAGUGUGGGAGAGGUAGGCGGAAUUCCUGGUGUAGCGGUGAAAUGCGUAGAUAUCAGGAGGAACACCUGUGGUGUAGACGGCUUACUGGACCAUGACUGACGCUGAGGCACGAAAGCCAGGGGAGCAAACGGG